GGUCGGUUAGCUCAGUUGGUUAGAGCGUGGUGCUAAUACCGCCACGAUCGUGGGUCCAAUCCCCGCACUGACCA